rnacentral:rRNA from 1 species
ACAUCCAGCGAACUUGGCAGAGAUGCCUUGGUGCCUUCGGGAACGCUGAGACAGGUGCUGCAUGGCUGUCGUCAGCUCGUGUUGUGAAAUGUUGGGUUAAGUCCCGNAACGAGCGCAACCCUUAUCCUUUGUUGCCAGCGAUUCGGUCGGGAAACUCAAAGGAGACUGCCGGUGAUAAACCGGAGGAAGGUGGGGAUGACGUCAAGUCAUCAUGGCCCUUACGAGUAGGGCUACACACGUGCUACAAUGGCGCAUACAAAGAGAAGCGACCUCGCGAGAGCAAGCGGACCUCAUAAAGUGCGUCGUAGUCCGGAUCGGAGUCUGCAACUCGACUCCGUGAAGUCGGAAUCGCUAGUAAUCGUGGAUCAGAAUGCCACGGUGAAUACGUUCCCGGGCCUUGUACACACCGCCCGUCACACCAUGGGAGUGGGUUGCAAAAGAAGUAGGUAGCUUAACCUUCGGGAGGGCGCUUACCACUUUGUGAUUCAUGACUGGGGUGAAGUCGUAACAAGGUAAGCGUAGCGAG